rnacentral:rRNA from 1 species
UCGGGAUGGGACUAAGACAUGCUAGUCGAGUGUCUCUAAGCUAUGGAAGAGACGCGGCACACAGCUCAGUAACACGUGGCUAACCUGCCCUUGGGACAAGGACAACUCCGGGAAACUGGGGCUAAUCCCUGAUAAGUGAGAACUCCUGGAAUGGGUUCUCGCUGAAAGGACGUUUAGACCAUGCUUCUAGGCGUCGCCCAAGGAGGGGGCCGCGACCGAUCAGGUUGUUGGUGAGGUAACGGCUCACCAAGCCUUUAACCGGUACGGGCCGUGAGAGCGGAAGCCCGGAGAUGGGCACUGAGACAAGGGCCCAGGCCCUACGGGGCGCAGCAGUCGCGAAAACUCCGCAAUACACGAAAGUGUGACGGGGCCAUCCCGAGUGCCAUCCCGCUGAGGAUGGCUUUUCCCCAGUGUAUAAAGCUGGGGGGAAUAAGGAGAGGGCAAGCCUGGUGUCAGCCGCCGCGGUAAUACCAGCUCUCCGAGUGGUGGGGAUGUUUAUUGGGCCUAAAGCAUUCGUAGCCUGCUUGGCAAGUCCUCCGUUAAAUCCAACGAUUCAAUCGUUGGGCUGCGGGGGAUACUGUCCAGCUAGGGGGCGGGAGAGGCCGACGGUAUCCCCGGGGUAGGGGUGAAAUCCUAUAAUCCCGGGAGGACCACCAGUGGCGAAGGCUGUCGGCUAGAACGCGCUCGACGGUGAGGGAUGAAAGCUGGGGGAGCGAACCGGAUUAGAUACCCGGGUAGUCCCAGCUGUAAACGAUGCAGGCUAGGUGUUGGCGCGGGCUACGUGCCGCUCCCAGUGCCGCAGGGAAGCCGUUAAGCCUGCCGCCUGGGAAGUACGGCCGCAAGGCUGAAACUUAAAGGAAUUGGCGGGGGAGCACCACAAGGUGUGAAGCUUGCGGUUUAAUUGGAUUCAACGCCGGG